rnacentral:rRNA from 1 species
GUAGGGGGCGAGCGUUGUCCGGAAUUACUGGGCGUAAAGGGAGCGUAGGCGGUCUGAUAAGUUGGAUGUGAAAUACCCGGGCUUAACUUGGGGGGUGCAUCCAAUACUGUUGGACUAGAGUACAGGAGAGGAAAGCGGAAUUCCUAGUGUAGCGGUGAAAUGCAUAGAUAUUAGGAGGAACAUCGGUGGCGAAGGCGGCUUUCUGGACUGCAACUGACGCUGAGGCUCGAAAGCGUGGGGAGCAAACAGGAUUAGCUACCCUGGUAGUCCACGCUGUAAACGAUGAAUACUAGGUGUAGGGGGUAUAAACUCCCUCUGUCCGCAGCAAACGCAAUAAG